rnacentral:lncRNA from 1 species
CCCAUAACAACAAGCGAACCACAUCAGACCCUGUCGGUCUACGCCGGAUUAUGGAGGAGAGGAAAGAGGAGAGGAAAGAGAGGAAGGAGAGAGAGGAGAGGAAAAGAAGGGAGAAGGAGAACAAGAGAAAAAUAUGAAAUACGGAACUAUGUCUCCACUGAGAAAAAACAGAGAGAAGGAGAGAAUUGAGGAGAAGGUGGGAGGAGUUGGGGACCAGAGAAAGAAAGACACUGGGGGAGAGGCGAAGUCCGAGAAACAACGAGGUGCAGAGAACAGAGGACUGCAGGAAGACGACAGAGAAAGAGAGGACGAGAGCGCAAAGAAGGAAAGAGAAGGAGAGGAGAGGAAAGGAGAUGAGGAGAGAGGUGGAUGGGAGAGGAAAGGAGAGGAGGAGAGAGGUGGAGGGGAGAGGAAAGGAGAGGAGGAGAGAGGUGGAGGGGAGAGGAAAGGAGAGGAGGAGAGAGGAGGAGGGGAGAGGAAAGGAGAGGAGGAGAGAGGUGGAGGGGAGAGGAAAGCAGAGCAGGAGAGAGGAGGAGGGGAGGUUCGGGGAGCUACGACAGAAGAGCACCCGUCCGUAUCAGAGGAGGCGUCAGACUCGUGUCGUACUGACUCUCGUUUCAUGACCAGCAUCUCCAGUGACUCCCUGGAUGCUCUGGAGGAAGAUGACCUGAUCGCCUGCUCUUCCUCCCUCCCUCACCCUCACCCUCCCUUCCGCCUCACAGUGGAGCCCCCCCAUCCCCAGCCUCACCCACGAGGGGGUGCAUCCUCACCCCAAGGAGGGGCAGGAGAGUGGAGAGGAGAAGGAGGUGGAGAGGUGUCAGGAGAGUGGAGAGGAGGGGUAGGAGGAGAGUGGAGAGGAGGAGAGUGGAGAGGAGGAGGAGGGGGAGGAGAGUGCAGAGGAGGGGGAAGAGGGAGGGGAUCGGGCAACGGAGCUUGGGUCAACACUCACCAUUCUCCCAUGACCCCUGACUCCAUGAACUCUGAACCUGUGACCCCCGUGGUUGACCCCUCUGAGAACCUGAACUAUGCUGAGCUCUCUCUCAUGCUGGAGUACCUCCCCAGUCCUCCGGAGGCGAGUGACGAUGAGGACGAGGAGGAGAAGAGGGAAGAGAUGAGGAGGAGUAAUGAAGGAACUGGACAGGAGGAAUUUUCCUUAUCCGGACGUCCCCGUUCCUCCUCCUCCUCACUUAUGGACUGUGUGUUUACAUUCGAGCAGAGAGACGCAAGGCAUUACUACAAUAUCUGCCCUAAUGUUACCCCUGACAGCACCCGCACCCGCAGCCUCACCCACCCUCACCCUGAGACUGAGGAAGAGGAGGGUGGUGGUGAGGAGGAAGAGCAGGGGGC